rnacentral:misc_RNA from 1 species
CAGAAUCUGUUUUACUACCAAAAUCUCAUCGCAUGUUUUGAAUCUUCCAUGAAGAUCCCCCUUCAAAAAUGGAUGAGUAAAAUACAAAAUAACUAAUUCACUUCGAUGAAAUAGUCCUAAAACUAAGAUGUAUUAAUAGAGCUACAACUGUCAAUAAGCUGACAAGCAUGCCUCCUACAAGAGCCCUACCGACAAUGCUCCACGUACUUGAGUUUCCUCCGGUCCAUUCUUGCUUUUUCAUGGAUCCCACAGCAAUCCCAUUCUCUAACUUCCUGUGCAUUUGAUUUUUCCGCUUUCUUAAAAACCAACCAAUCAGAUUUCUUCUAUUUCGAUCAUCCAGUAGCAUAUCAUUCAGUGGAAUGGUACUUUCUUUCAAAGCAUUCUGUCCUCCACAGCUUUCUGGUCCACAAUCACAAGGCUCUGAUUCCUUUGCACAAGCACAAGUUUCACAUGGCUCGGAGCAGGGAGAACAUUUGUCCUCACCAGGCAAUUUUUCAGCGGAAACUGUUUUUCCAUCCAUUUGGUUGAGAGCCUGAAUCACUUCUCCAAAAACAGACCACCUUCCGACAGAUGUUAUCUUAACAAUAGCUGAAGCACCCAGCAUGCUUUCUGGAGCAACUACAAGCACCUGAACAUAUGCCUUUGUAUGGCCAACCAAGUGAAUUCCAUCAGUUGCUAUUUCAGUUAUCCAUAUUCUUUCCACUCUACCCUCCAUUCCAUUAUAUGGAGUGAAAGCUUCAAAAACGUAAGUCAAUUCACGGCUCCUUUUCUUCACUAUGUUACUUGGGACUUUCUUCAUCCUGGCAGCAGGUGUCCCUGGUCUAGGAUAGAACUGUGAUAUGUGAACUUGAGGGAAUUUGUACUCCACAACAAGACUGACUGUUUGAGCAAAAUCAUCAUCUGUUUCACCUGGGAAUCCACAUAUUAUGUCAGUAGCAAUUUGCAUCCCUGGAACUAGUUCAGUCAAGGUAUCUACCACAGUCCUGAAUUCACUCACUGUGUACUCUCGAUUCAUUGCACUCAAAACUGAAUCACUCCCAGAUUGCACAGGCACAUGAAGAAAAGAGUAUACACAUGGGUGACACAAAACUUCAGCUAUCUCUUUCAAGUGCUCAAGGAUAAAAGGAGGAUUUGUCAUCCCAAUUCGAAGCAUGGCACUUGCAUCAGUAGGAAGUUCAGCAACAAUAGCAUUUAAUAAUGUUGGAAGAUUAACCCCAAUGUCACGACCAUAUGCUCCAG